GACGAACCGUGCGAACGUUAUUCGGAAUCACUGGGCUUAAAGCGCGUGUAGGCGGGUCGGCACGUCCGAGGCUGAAAGCCCCCCGGCUCAACCGGGGGAAGGGGGCCCGGAUACGACCGACCUGGAGGGGCGUAGGGGGACCUGGAACUUCCGGUGGAGCGGUGAAAUGCGUUGAGAUCGGAAGGAACGCCCGUGGCGAAAGCGAGGUCCUGGACGCCAUCUGACGCUGAGACGCGAAAGCCAGGGGAGCGAACGGG
rnacentral:rRNA from 1 species